rnacentral:rRNA from 1 species
GGUUAAGUUAAUAAGGGCGCACGGUGGAUGCCUUGGCACUAGAAGCCGAUGAAGGACGUGACUAACGACGAAAUGCCUUGGGGAGCUGUAAGUAAGCAAUGAUCCAGGGAUGUCCGAAUGGGGGAACCCGGCAGGUAAUGCCUGUCACUCACUACUGUUAAGGUAGUGAAGAGGAAGACGCAGUGAACUGAAACAUCUAAGUAGCUGCAGGAAGAGAAAGCAAAAGCGAUUGCCUUAGUAGCGGCGAGCGAAACGGCAGGAGGGCAAACCGAGGAGUUUACUCCUCGGGGUUGUAGGACUGCAAUGUGGACUUAAAGAGUAUAGAAGAACUACCUGGGAAGGUAGGCCAAAGAGAGUAAUAGCCUCGUAUUUAAAAUAUUUUUUAUACCUAGCAGUAUCCUGAGUACGGCGAGACACGCGAAAUCUCGUCGGAAUCCGGGAGGACCAUCUCCCAACCCUAAAUACUCUCUAGUGACCGAUAGUGAACCAGUACCGUGAGGGAAAGGUGAAAAGUACCCCGGAAGGGGAGUGAAAUAGAACCUGAAACCGUGUGCCUACAACAAGUUCGAGCCCGUUAAUGGGUGAGAGCGUGCCUUUUGUAGAAUGAACCGGCGAGUUACGAUAUGAUGCGAGGUUAAGUUGAAGAGACGGAGCCGUAGGGAAACCGAGUCUUAAUAGGGCGGAUUAGUAUUAUGUCGUAGACCCGAAACCAUGUGACCUACCCAUGAGCAGGUUGAAGGUGCGGUAAGACGCACUGGAGGACCGAACCAGGGCACGUUGAAAAGUGCUUGGAUGACUUGUGGGUAGCGGAGAAAUUCCAAACGAACUUGGAGAUAGCUGGUUCUCUCCGAAAUAGCUUUAGGGCUAGCGUCGACAUUUGAGAAUCUUGGAGGUAGAGCACUGUUUGGAUGAGGGGGCCAUCUCGGUUUACUGAUUUCAGAUAAACUCCGAAUGCCAAUGAUUUAUGGUCGGCAGUCAGACUGCGAGUGCUAAGAUCCGUAGUCGAAAGGGAAACAGCCCAGACCACCAGCUAAGGUCCCAAAAUAAUUGUUAAGUGGAAAAGGAUGUGGGGUUGCACAGACAACUAGGAUGUUAGCUUAGAAGCAGCUAUUCAUUCAAAGAGUGCGUAAUAGCUCACUAGUCGAGUGACCCUGCGCCGAAAAUGUACCGGGGCUAAAACAAUUUACCGAAGCUGUGGAUAACACUUUAGUGUUAUGGUAGGAGAGCGUUCUAUGUGUGAAGAAGGUAUACCGUGAGGAGUGCUGGAACGCAUAGAAGUGAGAAUGCCGGUAUGAGUAGCGAAAGAUGGGUGAGAAUCCCAUCCACCGUAAGACUAAGGUUUCCAGGGGAAGGCUCGUCCGCCCUGGGUUAGUCGGGACCUAAGGAGAGACCGAAGGGUGUAUCCGAUGGACAACAGGUUGAUAUUCCUGUACUAGAGUAUGAAGUGAUGGAGGGACGCAGUAGGCUAACUAAAGCGGGCGAUUGGAAGUGCCCGUCUAAGCAGUGAGGUGUGAUAUGAGUCAAAUGCUUGUAUCUGUAACAUUGAGCUGUGAUGGGGAGCGAAGUUA